rnacentral:tRNA from 1 species
GCGACCGUAGUCUACCGGUUAUGAUUCCAGAUUGCCAAUCUGGCGGACCGGGUUCAAUUCCCGGCGGUCGCA